GACAGUUUGGCCGAGUGGUUAAGGCGCGCGCCUGCGUACGUUCUACUUUCUAUUACUCUCACGAAUCUCCUACUAACAACAAUUCAGUAUUGGUUACAACUUCAGUAAUUCAUGUCAGCGCGUACUUUCGAGUGCGCAGGUUCGAAUCCUGCAGCUGUCG